GAUGAACGCUAGCUACAGGCUUAACACAUGCAAGUCGAGGGGCAGCAUGGUCUUAGCUUGCUAAGGCCGAUGGCGACCGGCGCACGGGUGAGUAACACGUAUCCAACCUGCCGUCUACUCUUGGACAGCCUUCUGAAAGGAAGAUUAAUACAAGAUGGCAUCAUGAGUCCGCAUGUUCACAUGAUUAAAGGUAUUCCGGUAGACGAUGGGGAUGCGUUCCAUUAGAUAGUAGGCGGGGUAACGGCCCACCUAGUCUUCGAUGGAUAGGGGUUCUGAGAGGAAGGUCCCCCACAUUGGAACUGAGACACGGUCCAAACUCCUACGGGAGGCAGCAGUGAGGAAUAUUGGUCAAUGGGCGCAGGCCUGAACCAGCCAAGUAGCGUGAAGGAUGACUGCGCUAUGGGUUGUAAACUUCUUUUAUAAAGGAAUAAAGUCGGGUAUGUAUACCCGUUUGCAUGUACUUGAUGAAUAAGGAUCGGCUAACUCCGUG
rnacentral:rRNA from 1 species